GCUUCAAGAAGGGGAACAAAUGAAGGGGGCGCGCUUGGCACCAGGUCGGGGGCGCGCAUUUGGGAAGCCCUGACUAUACAUUUUUUUUUUCCCUGCCUUUUUUAUUUAAUUUUUUUUUUUUUUUUUUUUUUAGAGAGGGAAGGAGGGGGCUGGUUGGCGGAGAGGAAGGGAAGUGGGAAACGAGCAGAUGGGGGAGGAAAAAAAAAAAAAAAAAAAAGGCAAGAAGAAGCAGAGAGGAAAAAGCCGCCGGGAUGGGUCACAAUUCGCAUCCCUCCCCCACCACCUCUUCUAACAAAAAAAAAUCCAACUCUGGAGGGAAUCAGAGAUGCCCUGACUGCAAGCUCCAGCCUUGCAGCCUUGCAGCAGCGGGUCCGGGUGUCCCGGGGUCCCCGCGUCCCGGGUUCCCGGCUCCCCGCACCGCGCCCCCUCCGGGCCGUGCCGGUGCCGAGCCUCGCCCGAGCCUCGCAACCUCUCCGGGAUCAAGCAGCCUCCUCCUCCCUCCCGGCCAGGAGGCAAAGCCCCAAAGCCUCGGGGAGGACACCCGGAGCCUUUCGCAUCCUCCCUCCGCCGCCGCGGAGUUUGCGCGGAGGCGGAGGGCGGCCGCGCCCGCGGAGGAGGGAGCCGCAGGAAGCCACAGGUCUCCCCCUCAUGCUGACAGUUGAUGCUGAAAUCUCCCCUGGGGAUGCCAAAGUUUUCAGCUCAUCAAAUGGACAUCAUCAGAGUUGUCCAGGGAAAUAUUCCCCUUCCAAAAUGGAGUUGGACAGGGAGAUGGCAUGUGGACUGAGCUGUAAAUGUGUCUUUAGGUCAUCCUCAUGCAGAGAAAUUCCUAACAAUGCUGCAUUUCCCAAGGUUGGAUGA
rnacentral:lncRNA from 1 species